rnacentral:rRNA from 1 species
UGAACGCUGGCGGUAUGCUUAACACAUGCAAGUCGAACGGUAACAGCAAGAGCUUGCUCUUGGCUGACGAGUGGCGGACGGGUGAGUAACGCGUGGGAAUCUGCCUACUAGCGGGGGAUAGCCCGGAGAAAUCCGGAUUAAUACCGCAUACGCCCUACGGGGGAAAGCUGGGGAUCUUCGGACCUGGCACUAGUAGAUGAGCCCGCGUUAGAUUAGCUUGUUGGUGGGGUAAUGGCCUACCAAGGCGACGAUCUAUAGCUGGUCUGAGAGGACGAUCAGCCACACUGGGACUGAGACACGGCCCAGACUCCUACGGGAGGCAGCAGUGGGGAAUAUUGCACAAUGGGCGAAAGCCUGAUGCAGCAAUACCGCGUGUGUGAAGAAGGCCUGCGGGUUGUAAAGCACUUUCAAUUGUGAGGAAAAGCUUAGGGUUAAUAACCUUGAGUCUUGACGUUAGCAAUACAAGAAGCACCGGCUAACUCC